CUAGCCUUCCACUUUUGCCCCUCCACAUUCACUCUGAAACCCAACACUCUCCUACAGUCCGGCGCAAAUCCCAAACAAGGCCGAUCAACUUCUUCCUCUUUCAUCGACACCGAAGGCGUGGAUCUGAUCGGAAACUCCCAACUCGUUCAAUAGCACCAUGGAUCCAUUUUCUAUUGCGGUUAGUGUCGGAUCUCUCCCUUAUUUUUCUACACUUUUGUGGCCAUGAAUCCCUAUUUUUUACCCAUUGCUGCUGCUAUAAAAUGGUAUGAAUUUAACUCAUAAUAACUUGUCAUUACAUGUUCAGUAACGUAAAGUAUGUAUGAAAGAGCAACGGUCGACAACGGCUUCAGGAGAGAAUUCUGGGCAACUAAAAAAUUUGGGAAUGCAGAAAUUGGAAAAGGGAAAAUACAAUCAUUUUUUUCCAAGUUUUCGUCAUCAAGAAUUUGGGCGGGGGGUAUAGAAAUUCUUCACAGAAAAUAUGUUGUGGUUGAAAACUUUCCGCUUUCCUCAUUCAAGGGGUGAAGUGGAUUUUGUAGCAAUGACAAAUCCUCCUAAAUGCAUCUGAGCCUAUAAUAAUCAUUGGUUGUCAUUUUCAUUUGUUCACCAUAGAAUAUGCUUUACAAUAUGUAGAUUUGUUGGCCUUCUUAUAAAAAAGCCCAGUUUGAAUUUCAUAUUCUCUGUAAUAACUUGGUGUUGUGUACACCUGAAGCCAGGAGUUAUGCAAUAAGAUGUAUUGGAACACUUCCAUUUUGUAUAAUUGUAGCCUGUAGGUUUUACACUUUUGCUUACGCUUUUGUAUUAUUAAAUUUGUUUGAUUGCAAG
rnacentral:lncRNA from 1 species